GGUAAGAUGGCCGAUAAGGUGGCAGGUUGUAGCCCUGUGCAUGCGGGUCGAGCCCCGUUCUUAUCA
rnacentral:tRNA from 1 species